AGAAAACCAAUUUUGUUCGAGACACUUUGAUUUGGUUGUCUAAUUUGUUUUUCACCUAAAAAACAUUCUCGUUUCUUGAUUGUCACUUACAUUUGGAUUCUAAAUCUUUACUUAGGCACUUACUUUUGGAUUUCAUCCUUUGUCACAAAAGCAUUUAUUGAUUUAGCAUUUGACACCUUUAUUUGGAUUCUAAAACUUGCUUGGUACCAAUCUAUUUUCCACAAGAUGGUGUUUCCUUUUAUCACAAGUUUAUUUUAUUUGGCUUUGGGUAAUUUGGUGGCUGUUUACCGAAUAAAUAUCUCUGUUGAGUUCUUCGUGCUUUACAUUUACUAUAAAUUUAACUAUUAUGUUUGGUACUUACGGAUUCCAAAAUUUGGUGUUUCCUUUUAUCAAAAAAAAAAAAAUCUUAUAUGGUAUUUCUGAUUCGUUUCUAAGUUUGGUGUUCUAUUUUAACUAAGAGAAAUUCUCUUAGAUUCUUGAUUGACACUUCUAUGUGGAUUCUAAAUCUUUACCUUGGCACUUACUUUUGGUUUUCUGUUAGUUGGUGUUCCCUUGCGUCGUAAAAACAUUCUUUUGUUGUUGUGCUUGACAAUUCUAUUUCAAAUCUUGAAGUUGGUACUUACUAUUUGUUUUCUAAAAGGUGGUGUAUUUUUAUUUUGGUUUUAUGAAAUGUGGUGUUUGUUUCUAUCUAGAAAGUAUACUCCUUUUUAAUGCUUUGGCGCAUCUAUUCAUGGAUUCUAAAGUUUUCACUUUACUUCUAAUUCUCAUUGGUUACUUGCUAGUAGUUUUUUUUUGUGAAAAAAUGUUUCUAGUUCGUUCUUCAAAAUCGUUUUUCCUUUUCAUCGCCUUGCGAAAAUAUGGUUUUUUGCUUUCUAUUAAAAAUACUCUAUUUUUAAUGCUUUGGCUCUCUAUUUGUAGAUUCAGAAGUUAUUUUGCUUUGUAAAAAAUGUUUGUAGGUAGUUCUUCAAAGUCAUGUUUCCUUCUAUGGAGAAAAACAAUGUAAAGCUUUUCAAUCUUGUACUUUUCCUGAAUUUGGUGUUUGCUUUUCUUUUAAGAACAUAAUUAGUUCCAAAUCUUUAACUUGGUACACACUCUUUGUUUUCUAAGAGGUGGCCUAUCAUUUUAUAAGAAAAGCAUUGCCUUGGUUUCAUGCUUUUUUUUGGAUUGUAAUGCUUUUGAGCUUGACCUUAUAAUUCCUUGUUAUUUGGAAUUGGGUGUUGCCUUUUAUCAAAAAAUAUUUUGAUAUUUUGAUAUUUUUAUCACAAUACUUAUUAUUGGAGUUAUGGAGUUUGGUGUUUAAUUUAAUUUCUUGUCAAUGCCAUCUUGAUUCUUCUACAUCUUCAAAUUUUCCUUAUUUUGGUUUUUGUAAAAUACGAUGUUUGUUUUCUAGUAAAACAAUAUUCUCGUUUUAAAUGCUUUGGCGCUUUGUGGAUUGUUAAGCUUUUUCGUUGCACUUCUAAUUCUAAUAGGAUUUUCAUAAGUUCUUCUGUUUUGCAAAGAAGAAUGUUCUAGUUCUUUUUUCAAAAUCGUGUUACCUUGUAUUGAGAAAAAAGAUUCUCUAAAGCUUUUCAAUUUGGUACUUAUAAUUAGUUCUCCUUAGUUUAUGUUUGCUUUUGCAAGAAGAAAUUAUUUUGGUUUCCCUGUUUGACAUUUGUAUUUGGGUUCUUAAUCUUGAACUUAGUCUUACUAUUGGUUUUCCGAAAGAUUGUGUCUUGUUUUAUCCAAAAGUAAAAACAUUACCUUGGUUUCUUGCUUCUAUUUGGGAUCUAAAGCUUUUAGCUUGAACAUACAAUUCGUUUUUUCUAGAAUUUGGUGUACCUUCUAUUGAAAAAAAAAGAAAAACAUUUUCUUGGUUUCAUGCUUGGUACUUCUGGAAUUCUAAAUCUUUUGACACGAUACUCAUUGUUGAAUUUAUGCGAUUUGAUGUUCCUUUCUAUGAUCGUUUUGUUUUCAUUCUUGUCAUUGUCAUUUUGGUUUUUCUAAAUUUUCAAUUUGGUACUUACUUUUGUUUUGUCAAAUGUUGUGUUUGUUUCUGUCGCAAAAGUAUUCUCGUUUUUAAUGCUUUGACACUUCUAUUUGUUGUUUCUCAAGUUCGAGCUCUAAUUGGUUUUCCAAAAGUUGUUUCGUUUUGCAAAUCAGAAUUUUUUCUAGUUUUCUUAAAAUCGUGUUUCCUUCUAUGGAGAAAAAUGUUCUAUAAAUCUUUUCAAUUUGGCACCUAUUAUCGCUUUUCCUGAAUAUGUUGUUUGCUUUUACAAAAAUACAUUAUUUUGGUUUCCUUGGCAUUUGUAUUUGGAUUCUUAAGCUACUUGCUGUUGGUUUCUUAAAGGUAGUCUAUCAAUUUAUUGCAAGGAAACAUUGCUUUGGUUUCUUGCUCUAUUCUGAUUCUAUAGCUUUUAGUUUAGACUUAUAAUUUGUUCUUUUUUGGAAUUUGAUGUUCCUUUAUUGAUGAAGAACAAUAUCUUGGUUUCGUGCUUGGUGCUUCUUCCAGGAUAUAUAUCUUUUGACAUCAUACUUAUUAUUGGGUUUAUGGAGUUUGGUGUAUUGUUUAAUGAACUUUUUUGGUUCCUUCCUUGUCAGUACCAUCGUGAUUGUUCUAGAUCUUUAAUUUGUUCCUUUUUGGUUUUUAAAUGUGGUACUUGGUUCUAUCAAAAAGUAUUCUCGUUUUCGGUGCUUUGACGAUUCUAUUCUUGGAUUCUAAAGCUUUCAUGUGUACUUCUAAUUCUAUUUGUUUUUUUUGAAAGCUGUUUUAUUUAGCAAAUAAGAUAAUUGUAGUUCAUUUCUCAAAAUCGUGUUUUCCUUUUAUGUUGGAAACAUUCUAAAUGGUUUUCCUAAAUUUGAUGUUUGCUUUUGUAAAAAAAAAUUUUGUUGCCAAGUUGCAUUUGUAUUUGGAUUCUAAAUCUUAAACUUGGUACUUGCUAUUGAUUUUUCUUAAAGGUGGUUUAUCCCUUUUUUUUAAAAAAACAUUGCCUUGGGUUCAUGCUUCUAUUUGGAUUCCAAAAGCUUCUAGCUUGAACUUAUAAUUUGUUUUUUUUUUUUGGAUUUUGAGGUCCCUUGUACGGAAAUCUUCUACCACGGUACUUUUGGAAUUUGGAGUUUUGGGCUCAAUUGUAUGAUAUUUUUCGGCUUAACCUUUUGUUUUGUGAAAUGUGGGUGUUUGUAUUAAAAACUAUCCUCUUUUUAAUGCUUCGACGCUUUUAUUCUUGAAUUCUAAAGCUUUCAAUUGGUACUUCUAAUUCUAAUUGGUUUUCUUAAAGUUGUAUUAUUUCGCAAAAAAAAAAAUUCUCUUGUUCGUUUUUUCAAACGUGUUAUCUUUCAUGCAGAAAAACAUUAUCUUGGUUUUAGCUUGAACUUAUAUUUAAUUUUUUUUUGGAAUUUAAAAUUACCUUUUAUCGAAAAAACAUUCUCUUGGUUUUGUGCUUUGCGCUUCUUGGAUUGUAUAUAUUUUUAUUGGUGUUUUAUUUUACCUGGAAGACAUUCUCUUGUUUCUUGAUUGACACUUCUAUGUGGAUCUCUUAGUUUCUUGAUUGACACUUCUAUGUGGAUUCUAAAUCUUUACCUUGGCACUUACUUUUGGUUUUCCGUAAAUUGGUGUUCCCUUGCGUUGAAAAAAACAUUCUCUUGUUGUGCUUGACAAUUCUAUUUCAAAUCUUUAAGUUGGUACUUACUAUUUGUUUUUUGAAAGGUGGUGCAUUUUUAUUUUUGUUUUAUGAAAUGUGGUGUUUGUUCAUGUCGAAAAGUAUUCUCCUUUUUAAUGCUUUGGCGCUUCUGUUCGUGGAUUCAAAAGCUUUCACUUUGUACUUCUAAUUCUCAUUGGUUACUCUAUAGUACACUUUUUUUGCGAAAAUAUGUUUCUAGUUUGUUCUUCAAAAUUGUUUUUCCUUUUCAUCGCCAUCUUGUUGUGGAUCUUGAAUUGGGUAUUUGUUUUGGUUUCGUGAAAUAUGGUUAUUGCUUUCUAUUAAAAAUACUCUAUUUUUUAACGCUUUGGCUCUUAAUUUGUAGAUCAGAAGUUAUUUUGCUUUGUAAAAAAAGUUUGUAGUUAGUUUUUCAAAGUCUUGUUUCCUUAUAUGGAGAAAAAAAAUAUGUAAAAGCUUUUCAAUUUUGUACUUUUCCUGAAUUUGGUGUUUGCUUUUCUUUGAGGAGCAUAUUUGGUUCUAAAUCUUUAACUUGGUACAUACUCUUUGUUUUCUAAAAGAUGGCCUAUCAUUUUAUAAGAAAAGCAUUGCCUUGGUUUCAUGCUUUUAUUUGGAUUCUAAUGCUUCUGAGCUUGAACUUAAAAUUCCUUGUUAUUUGAAAUUUGGUGUUUCCUUUUAUCAAAAAACAUUUUGAUAAUUUUAUUUUUUUUAUCACGGUACUUACUAUUGGAGUUAUGGAGUUCGUUGUUUCGUUUUCUUUCGUCAAUGCCAUCUUGAUUCUUAGUUUGGUUUUCUAUAAAAAUCGUUUUUUCCUUUUAUGGAGAAAACAUUCUAAAUGGUUUUCCUAAAUUUGAUGUUUGCUUUUGUAAAAAUAGAAAACAUUGUUUUUGUCGCCGACUUGCAUUUGUAUUUAUAAUCUAAAUCUUUAACUUGGUACUUACUAUUGGUUUUCUUAAAGGUGGUUUAUCCUUUAUUUUUUUACAUUGCCUUGGGUUCAUGCAUCUAUUUGGAUUCUAAAAGCUUUUAGGUUGAACUUAUAAUUUGUUUUUUUUUUUGGAUUUUGAGGUCCCUUUUAUGGAAAUCUUCUAUCACGGUACUUACUUUUAGAUUUAUGGAGUUUUGUGUUCAGUUGUAUUAGUUUUUUUGGCUUACCCUUUUGUUUUGUGAAAUGUGGGUGUUUGUAUUAAAAACUAUUCUCUUUUUAAUGCUUCGACUCUUUUAUUCUUGGAUUCUAAAGCUUAUACUUGGUACUUCUAAUUCUAAUUGGUAUUCGAAAACUUGUACUAUUUUGCAAAAAAAAUAAAUUCUAGUUUGGUUUUCAAAAUCGUGUUUUCUUUUAUGCAGAAACACAUUCUCCAAAGCUUUUCAAUUUGGUACUAAUAAUUUAUUUGCUUUUAUAAAAAAACAUUAUUUUGGUUGCCCUGCUUGCAUUUGUAUUAACUCUAAAUCAACUCGGUACUUGCUAUUAGUUUUCUAAAAGGUGGUCUAUUUUUUAUCGUGAAAAUAUAUAUUGCCUUGGUUUCGUUCUUCUAUUUUUUUUCUAAAGCUUUUAGCUUGAACUUAUAAUUCAUUUUUUGGAACUUGUUACCUUUUAUCGAAAAAACACUCUUUGUUUUUAUGCUUGGUGCUUCUUCUGGGAUUGUAAAUCUCGUUAUUGGUUUUAUGCCGUAGGUGUUUUGUGUUUUGACCUCCUUUUGGUUUCUUUCUUGUAAAUAGCAUUUUGAUCCUUCUACAUCUUCAAUUUGGUUCUAACUUAGGUUUUGUGAAAUGUGGUGUUUGCUUCUAUCAAAAAAGUAUUCUCACUUUUAGUUCUUUGACGCUUCUAUUCGUGGAUUUUAAAAGCUAUUACUUGCUACUUCUGAAUCUAAUUUGUUUUCUAGAAGUAGUUCUGUUUUUUUUUUAAAAAAAGGUUUCUAGUUUUUAAAAUCAUGUUUCUUACUAUGGAGAAAAAUGUUCUCUAAAGCUUUUCAAUUUGGUGUUUGUUGUUGUAAAGGCAUUAUUUUGGUUUCGUUGUAUGACAUUUGUAUUUAGAUUUUAAUUCCUUUACUUGGUACUACCUCCGUCCCAAAAUAAGUGCAGCCAUAAUUUUCCGCGUCCAACUUUGACCGUUCGUCUUAUUUGAAUUUUUUUUUAAAAAAAUUAAAAACAUAAGUCACGAGUAAAGUACUAUUCAUGUUUUAUUAUCUCAUAACAACAAAAAUGCUAAUUAUAAAAAAAUUUCAAAUAAGACGGACGAUCAAAGUUGAGCGCGGAAACUCAAGGCUGCACUUAUUUUGGGACGGAGGUAGUACGUACUAUUGGGUUUUCUAUGCUUUGAUGUAAAAAAAAGUAUUGCCUUGGUUUCAUGCUUCCAUUUAAAUUCUGAAGUUUUAGUUUCAACUUAUAAUUCAUAUUUUGGAAUUUGAUGUUGUUUCCCUUCAUCAAUAAAACAUUCUCUUUGUUUCAUGCAUGGUGCUUCUACUCGGAUUCUAUAUCUUUCAUCAUCAAACUUACUAUUAGAUUUUUGGAGUUUGAUGUUUCGUUUUGUUUUAACACUUCUAUUCGUGGAUUCUAAAGCUUUCACUUUGUACCUCAACUCUAAUUGGUUUUUCAACAGUUGUUUCAUUUUGCAAAAAUAUGUUUCUAUUUCGUUUUUCAGAAUCAUGUUUCUCUUUAUGGAGAAAAACAUUAUCUAAAGCUUUUCAAUUUGGUACUUAUAAUUGGUUUUCUAAAUUUUGGUGUUCCCAUUUAUUGAAAUAAAGAAGCCCAAUUUUGUUUGUAAUAAUUUAAUUUGUUAUUUUGAUUCGUAUUACCCAAAAAAGAUUCUCAUGGCUUCUCGCUUGACAUUUCUUAAUGGAUUCUUAACUUUAACUUGGUAUUCUCUAAUUGUUUUUUUAAAUAGUGUUUUGUUUUAUUGAAAACAUCUUCUGUUUCAUAUUUAACCUUUAUCUUGCUUCACAAAUCUAUUGUUCUAAAGCUUUUAUCUUACUUGUUUUCUAAUUGGAUUCUAUAAUGAUUUUUUUCUUGGUUACAUGGUGGUUGGUGUUUCAUUCUCUUGUUUUCCUACUUAACGCUUCUAGUUGUAUUCUAAAGCUUUACUUGGUAAAUUUCUAAUUAUAAUGAUUUUUUUCUUGGUUACAUGGUGGUUGGUGUUCCAUUUUCUUGUUUUCCUACUUGAUGCUUCUAGUUGUAUUCUAAAGCUUUACUUAAGUAUUCUCCUUUUUAAUCCUUUGGCGCUUCUAUUCGUGGAUUCAAAAGCUUUCACUUGGUACUUCUAAUUCUCAUUGGUUACUCGCUAGUAGUUUAAUUUUUUUUUCCGGAAAAAUGCUUCUAGUUUGUUCUUCAAAAUCGUUUUUCCUUUUUCAUUGCCAUCACAUUGUAGAUCUUCAAUUGCGUAC
rnacentral:lncRNA from 1 species